CCCAAGGGAGGCCUAUCAGAACAUCAGAGGGUGAGCAGGGCUCUGCUCCAAACAAAAACAAACCCAAAAACAUCCAAAAAGAAAACCCAAAAACACUCCUCAGAGAUGCUGCUGAUAGGCCAGCCUUGGGGGUCAUGCAUCCUCGGGUGAGAAUCACUGGGGGGAAGGGCAGGUGGAGAGCUGGGCAGAGAGGUGAAGGGUGAGCAGAUGAGCCCCUGGGUGUGGCAGAGGGAGGCAUCAGAGUCCAGACUGUCAGACAUGUAGGCAAAGGACCCAGGACCAGGCAGACAGUGAGCAAAUGGAUGUAGCCGACAAAGGACUUCAGAGGGGGUGGUUUAGGUUUCACCUUCUGUGGUGGAGAGUGGGGCACCAUGGUU
rnacentral:lncRNA from 1 species